rnacentral:rRNA from 1 species
AGAGUUUGAUCCUGGCUCAGAACGAACGCUGGCGGCAGGCACUAACACAUGCAAGUCGAGCGCACCUUCGGGUGAGCGGCGGACGGGUUAGUAACGCGUGGGAAUAUGCCCUUCACUACGGAAUAGCCUCGGGAAACUGAGAGUAAUACCGUAUACGCCCUUCGGGGGAAAGAUUUAUCGGUGAAGGAUUAGCCCGCGUCUGAUUAGAUAGUUGGUGGGGUAACGGCCUACCAAGUCGACGAUCAGUAGCUGGUUUGAGAGGAUGAUCAGCAACACUGGGACUGAGACACGGCCCAGACUCCUACGGGAGGCAGCAGUGGGGAAUCUUAGACAAUGGGCGCAAGCCUGAUCUAGCCAUGCCGCGUGAGUGACGAAGGCCUUAGGGUCGUAAAGCUCUUUCGCCAGGGAUGAUAAUGACAGUACCUGGUAAAGAAACCCCGGCUAACUCCGUGCCAGCAGCCGCGGUAAUACGGAGGGGGUUAGCGUUGUUCGGAAUUACUGGGCGUAAAGCGCGCGUAGGCGGAUUGGAAAGUUGGGGGUGAAAUCCCGGGGCUCAACCCCGGAACUGCCUCCAAAACUAUCAGUCUAGAGUUCGAGAGUGGUGAGUGGAAUUCCGAGUGUAGAGGUGAAAUUCGUAGAUAUUCGGAGGAACACCAGUGGCGAAGGCGGCUCACUGGCUCGAUACUGACGCUGAGGUGCGAAAGUGUGGGGAGCAAACAGGAUUAGAUACCCUGGUAGUCCACACCGUAAACGAUGAAUGCCAGACGUCAGGGGGUUUUACCCUUUGGUGUCACACCUAACGGAUUAAGCAUUCCGCCUGGGGAGUACGGUCGCAAGAUUAAACUCAAGGAAUUGACGGGG